GAUGAACGCUGACAGAAUGCUUAACACAUGCAAGUCGAUGGGGAAGUGGUGCUUGCACCAUGGCAACCAUGGCGGACGGGUGAGUAACGCGUAAGGGACUUACCUGCAGGACUGGGAUAACAGGGGGAAACUCCUGGCAAGACCGGAUAAUGUCAUGGAGCUGCAUGGCUUUAUGAUGAAAGGAGACGCCUGCGGAGAGCCUUGCGUCCUAUUAGCUAGUUGGUGAGGUAAUGGCUCACCAAGGCGAAGAUAGGUAGCCGGCCUGAGAGGGUGGACGGCCACAAGGGGACUGAGAUACGGCCCUUACUCCUACGGGAGGCAGCAGUGGGGAAUAUUGGACAAUGGGGGCAACCCUGAUCCAGCAAUUCUGUGUGCACGAAGAAGGUUUUCGGAUUGUAAAGUGCUUUCAGCAGGGAAGAAGUAAGUGACGGUACCUGCAGAAGAAGCGACGGCUAAAUACGUG
rnacentral:rRNA from 1 species